rnacentral:lncRNA from 1 species
CGCCGCCGGUCCUGUUCCAGGAUGGAUACUUGGCGGCGAUUGUGGCGACGUAGCCCCGCAGAAACUCGACUAGAUUUCUUUUGUGUGGGGAUUUAGGGUCGAAGAGUUUCAUGCGGAGUUUCGUGGAGCUGAAGGGCAUGUAGAAGAGGUGGGCCUUCGAAGGGUCGUCGACGAGGAACCGGUUCUUCCCCUCCAUGUGCUUCAUGAACCAGCCCUCCGCCGCGUAGAUCCCCGAGAGGAUGGGCUCGUGGAAGAUGGGUCUCUCCCCAUCCUUGUAGACGUACACCUUGAGCAUCUUCUCCAUCAACUUGUAGCUCCUGAAGGAGAGAGAAGACGCUCUGCUUUUAAUUAAUCGCGGCCUCCUCAGGUUUUCUCAGAACAGAGCGGAGCCGCCGGCGAGGUUUUUCAGUUCCCCCGCAGACCUUUUUUUUUACCUCUUGAAGGUGGAUAAAUUACGGUAAACAGGUGGGUAGAGUUCUGGGUCGUCCUCUACGAUCGGCGCGUUGAGGAUCUCUCUCCUGGCUUCAAGAAUCUGCUGAUCAAUCGGAGAAGCCCAUCUCGGAACCUGCAACAGCGCGUGAAUCGAAACCGUAAGACGACGCAAUCCUCUCCGAA